UACGAACCGUACGAACGUUAUUCGGAAUCACUGGGCUUAAAGAGUGCGUAGGCGGCUUGGAAAGUUGGGUGUGAAAUCCCUCGGCUCAACCGAGGAAUUGCGCUCAAAACUACCAAGCUUGAGGGAGGCAGAGGUGAGCGGAACUAAUGGUGGAGCGGUGAAAUGCGUUGAUAUCAUUAGGAACACCUGAGGCGAAAGCAGCUCACUGGGUCUCUUCUGACGCUGAGGCACGAAAGCUAGGGGAGCGAACGGGAUUAGAUACCCCCGUA
rnacentral:rRNA from 1 species